AAAGAAGAACAAAGGAGGAAAGGAAAAAAACAAGAACCCUAGGUGGGAAAAUUGAAGAAAAAGUGUGGGAUUUCAAGGGAUUAAGCUAAUAAAGGCAAAAUUUCUUGAUUUUGACUUGUGAUUUACACUACCCAUGCUUUCUUUUUCAUUUUCCAUGGUUAGAUUUCAUGUUUUGAUGGUGAAUUCAUGGCUGGUUGGAAUGGGCAUGGAGAGAGAAUGAAGUUGGAUUGAUUUGAUUUUACUUUAUGUUAGUGUUUUUAGUUAGUUUAGCAUAUUUAGAAACAAAACAACAAGAAAAGAAUUCAUUUUCCCCCAUCACCAUCAUUGGCUGAAUUUUCUAGGGAGGAUAUUGUGGCUGAAAUUGAUGAUAUUUCAUGAUAUUUUGGUGAUAUUUGAUGUUUGGUGAGGCUAGAAAUUAAAUAAGAAAUUUUGGUGUGAAAAUCUGAAUUUUUACCUAAUGUAUAGACAUGUGUGAUUAUUGACUCGAGACUGAUAAAUUGAAUCUCAUUCGCAAUCACUGAGGUAAUUUAGGUAUAAUUGGAGUGUAGAAAGUGAAAGAAAUUGAUUUGGAGUUAAAUUGGAGGUUUUAGCCAAUUACAACGAGAAUAGUAUGAAUUAAGUCGAAUACCGUAUUUAAACGGCUAUUCGGACAUUUUGCAUCACAUUUCGUGCAUUCAUAUAGAUUUAUAGAGCCUGAAAUAGUUUAUGAUAAAUUGACACAAUUUAUUGAAAUUCGUGUCACAUAUGAUGUAUAGGUGGUGAGCCUUCUAACAAGGGUAAAGAGAUUAUGCCCGAUGAUUGGGAAUAGGAGUAUAUCGAACUCUUAGUAUUGUGAGUAACCUUAUCAUCAUUUUAAUUAUCUAAAGUAUGUUUUAAUUCGGUUUUGGAGAAAUUGUAUGAAAAUGAUUUUAAAUGGUUAAUUUUAGGUUUUAUAAACAAAAAUGAGUUUAAAUGAAAAUAUUUUAUAAAUUGUCUUGAAACGAAAUAACGAUUUUGAAAAUAGAGUAAUUGGAGACCACUGAUAUGUUGUAAAUUUAAAAUUUAAUUGAUGGCUUAUGUUAUUGUGUUGGUAUGACUAGCUGGGCUGUGUUUUAUGAAUUGUAUGAAUUGCUUUAUUUUACCCUUACAGGUUGGGUAGUAAUAUAUUAGCCCCGUCAUGUUGUCAAAAUUUUAUUGUAUGGUGGGUUUGACCUAUUGCAGUGGGCUAGGUUCUGUGGAUUAGCCUAUUAGAGGGGCAUGGAAUCCUGUUAUAUUUUACCUCAUUUGGAGAGGCGAGUAGGGUAACUCCUGAGGUAUAACUUUUAGAGUUCACUUCACGCCAAACCACCACGUGUGGGGGAACUCGGACAACGCCAAAGAACAGCUAUGUUUUUAAAAUAAAACAUGACUUUUUAAUAGCCUUGGCAGACUCAGUUGGGAUAGCCCUCGAUCAAGGUAUCCCAGAUAACUGAGUAUGAUAAUAAUUUUUGGCAUGAACCAAGCUUUUAAGAGAUUCAUAAGCCAUACUGAUUACUUGAUUUAAAUAAAUUGAUUUCAUUUGGUUGAAAUAAGUUGAAAGAUGAUAAAUUACAGUUUGAUAAAAUGUUUUAAUAGUCUCCUUUUACUCGCCUUUAGAUAUUUUAAAUGAUAUUUGUGUACUCAAUAGGAUUUUAUAAUCUCACCACCCUCCUUUCCACCCAUUUGAGACUCGGAAUAGAUUGUAGAUAACUGAUAUCGGCAAGGACUACAGUUGGACUUGCCACAUCCAAAAACUGUAGGUUCAUUUCUUUAGAUACUUUUAGUCAUUCGUGGCCCCAUGUGUCACUGUAAAUUAAAUUUUAUACUUUGGAUAUCUGUAUUAUAGCAUGUAUGAAUUUAUUUUGCUUUUAUGCUAUAAAAAUUAUUACACGGUGUUCUAAAAAUAUUAUUUUAUUAGAAAAUUGAAUAUUUUAUAUUUUUAUUUUAUUCUAAUAGUCAUAAUUUCAUUUUAAAUGAAUGUUUUAGACAUCCAAAUUUAUUUUUGAUUUCAAAUUAUGUGUUUUGUACUUGUAUAUUACAAUUCAGCCGGUUUCGAAAUUUUUUUUAAAAAAUGACCAAAAUACCCCUAUGAGACGAAAAUUAUUAUUUUGUUUGUUUUAAGUUGAAAAUAGUUUAAAAUCUUUUAAAAUGUGAUAUUUGGCAACAGUUACUCACAGGGAAAAUGAAAAGCUGAUAUUAAAGUCUUGCGAGGUUCCGGUUUACAUUUUGGGUAAUGAGUGUCGAUCGGAACGUCACGACAGUUGUCACGGGCUUGAGGGGAGUACUGGGUCGUGACAAUUCGAUUGGUAUCAGAGCAAAGGGAAAGAUAAUCCUAUUCUUGAGAACUCUCGCAUAUGAUCUAUGGCGAAGAAUGACUCUCCGCUUAGGAGCUUGGAAGAUGAGGGAAGAGACUGCUCCAUCGUAAGGCGAGGAGUGAAGUACACCUCUUGCCGAGUGCUCUGAUAGGUACCAUUGAAUGCCAUUAUACUCUGAGGGGUGGAGUCGAAUUAGAUUGGUAUCAGAGCUUUUGGUUUUAAAGAUCAGAGCUUUUGGUUUUAAAGAUUAGAGCUUUUGGGUUUAAAAUUGUUUUAAAGUUGUUUUAAAAACUACAGUGUCAGUGUGGCCCAAGUUAAGUUAAGUCAGGUUAGAUAGAAUAGAAUACGUACAUCUGCAUAUAAAAUUUAGAGUUGUUUAGACUUGUUCUGUUUCUUCUUAUAGAUCUUAUGGGAGCUAUAGGAACUCAUGUUCCUAGUAAUCCACUUCCUUGUUAAUGUCAUGCAAAGGUCAUAAGUAUGGCCGUUUGUUCGGGUUUAAGAUGCCACCCGUGACACGAGUUAGUAUUAGAGAGAUCUUAAAACGAAUGCUCCUAAUGAAAGAUUAAUGGAAUGAUAUAACCCUCCGAUUAAGGAUUGAGAAAUUUGGAGUUGGACUAAUAGGCCGUGAUAAUUUAUUCAUUUGGUGGAGUUAUAAUUGAACUCAUGGUUGUCAAUUGGAAAAAGAUUUUGGGGACUGUGGAUUGUAUUGGGGUUAAUAUAAAGGAGCACAUGUGAUAAUGGUAAUAAGGGGCACACUUUGAUUAGAAUGAAUAGUGAUGGUUGUAAUUCACUUGGAGUGUAUAAAUUAAGCAUUGAGGUAAGAGUGAACCCAUACUUAUGUGCAUGAAGAUAAGAACACUAUAUUAAUUGAGCUUGUUAUGCCCAUAUAAAAGUUGUGUUGGGAUUUUGAAAUAUUUUAUAUGUGAAUAUGUGUUGAAUAGGUACAACAGCUUAGAGGGAACUGGUGUUGAUUUCAAUUAAGCGAUUGUGAAAUUUCAAGAAUUGAUUGAACCUAUUAUAGUUCAUAGAUAUAAACACAUGAAUUAACUUGAGAGUGAGUAUCAAUGAUUACUAUAAUUGAUGUGUGGUCAUGAAGUAAGAAGUUAGUAAACAAAUCUGCUCUAAGGAUGAGCUUGAACUUUGCUAUGCAUAGAAAAAGGGGGAGCCAAGGGAUUAAAGGACUAAAUGUGAAAUUGGCAGCUUGAGGUUAAAUAACUUAGGAAUGUCGAAUCUAGUCUAAGUGCCAUAUGAAGUUCUAUAAUUGAGAUUGAUAUACGAAUUACUUGAAAGAUCAAUUUAAAAGUUUAUUCAGUUCAAAGCGUGGUCUAUGAUACGAAUGAUCAGUCUUGAAGGUGAUCUCCCCAAAGUAAGGAAUUUAAAAAAUGUUAAUGCUUGGAUAUACUUUAAGAGAGAGAACUACUGUAUCCUAAGUUUAGGACAACUUUGAUCUUAUGAUUGCAAAGGCAAGGUGUGAUAACUAAAUAAAUUAUUCAAUUAAUAAAUGUGAUUGGUUAUUGAUGAAUAAAGUCAAAGAUCUUAACAUUUAGUGGUGUAUAAUUUGAUAAUUAUGUAUUUAAGAGUUAUUUGGAGACGAUUCCUUCAUCAAAUUUGCACUAAAUGCUAUGAUAAAGGCAUAUCAAUGUUAAUAUGGAAAAGGUGAAAUUUGAAAUUUUAGUUGCAGCUACAAAAUUUGAAAGGAUAUAAGUGACGCUUAUAAUGGAUUUUUGAUUCUAUGAGGAUUGUGAAUAUAAGUGUAAAGAAAGAUGAAGGUAUGAGAUAUCGAUGAGGAAUAUCAAUGUUAAGUGAUGAAGUAUGAAUAACGGAUUACAAGUGGAUGAGAUGAAUUUGAAAAUAUUAACUUUAUCUAUUAUACGUGAUGAGCACAAGAAGAUAUCAAUGGUCAUGGAAAUUGUGACAUAAGCUUGGAGGGAAACCAAACGGUUGAGAAUGAUUAGUGUAGUAACCUUAAAUAUAGAUGAAUAACAUUGAUUAAGUAAACUCCAACAGCCACCGUGCCGCGGUGCUAAGAACACUUCAUGUCUAGGACGCAUGAAUAAAAUGAGACAGAUGUGAAGUUGAACUUAUGAGUUGACCUAAAGCCAUUGAACUUCAUUCUAAGUUUUGUUAACUGGAAGNGAGGAACAUAGUGCCGUGAUACUAUAUGGUGAAGUUACUAUACAAUAUGGAAUGAGUAUUCUAAAGUGGGAUUUAUUGAUUGUUGACAAGUGUUAUAGAAUGAGAUGAAUUUGAAAAUAUCGACUUUACCUAUUAUAUGUGAUAAGCACAUGAGGAUAUAAAUGGUUAUGAAAAUUGUGAAGUAAGCUUGGAGGGAAACUAAACGUUUGAGAAUGAUUAGUGUAGUAACUUUAAAUAUAGAUGAAUAACAUUGUUAAGUAAACUCCAACAGCCAUUGUGCCGCGGUGUUAAGAACACUUUAUGUCUAGGACGCAUGAAUAAAUGAGACAGAUGUGAAGUUGAACUUAUGAGUUGACCUAAAGCCAUUGAACUUGAUUCUAAGUUUUGUUAAUUGGAGUUUUAAGGUUUUGGAAGAUAUCGAUAUGAAUGAGUUAAAGCUGAAAUGGUUAAAGGCGUUUUCUUUGGGGGAGAAAAAAAGGUAUGGAGUUCGAAACUUGGUGAGAAGGUCCUGCAGGGCCUGUCGUGUCACCUUUAGGCGCGACGAAAACGAGUAAGUCAAGUGAUGGGGACCCAGACAUAACAAUACCUUGGAGUGAGCCCUGAAGAGGAUGCCACAUAAAUGGUUAAGUUACGGGUUAAGUGGUCACAUGUUGUGAGACAUAAGUUUAAGAUAGAUAUCCCCAAGGAAAUACUCAAGAGAAGUUCUGUUGUGGAUCUUGUAAAAGCAAGCACUAAGUUAUGUGAUUAUAAAAAGAAAGCUAUAAGUUGGGAGUAAUAUUAGUAUUAAUAUUGAAAAGUACUUGAGGAGAAUCUAGUUUUAAAUCUUGCAAUUUCAAGUACAAUUUUUAAAUUGGUUAAGGAAGAAUGAUGUUAUAUUUGUAUGAAAGAGUGAAACUUUAUUAAAGAAAGCGUAUGGAAAAGCAUAAGAGAAUAUAUUAGUUUGGCUUACUAUAAGAGGUCAAAAGUUGGAUGGUCAUGAGUGGCUUGUAAGUAAACUAGGAAUGUAUAGGUAAGUGUGUAAGGGAGUUGUGAUCGAUAGAUAAGGGUAGAACUUUAAUGAUGAGACAAUGUUCGCUGCGUUAGACCUUGAACUAUAAAAUAUGGAUAUGUAUCCACCUUAUGAAUACUCUGAUAUGAUAAAUUUGAAAGACUUUUCACAAUGAGAGAACAUUAAAGCUUAAGGAGCAAAUGGCUAUACAGUCAAGUUAGACUCAUGACUGACAUGUCAUAUAAGUAUGAGGAUGGGAUACAAGCAUAGGUAUACUUGAAAAUACUGGUUUGAGGCAAUGAUUAUCCUACUGUUUUAUGGAGCCGAUGAGGUUCUGGUCUCGACAUAAUUGUAGACGCAAAACAUAAAUUGUGAAAUGUACUCCCCCACAAGUUUCAAUUUAUUUUUAAGUAAUUAUCAAGGCAAAGUAUUUGAUAAUUGUAGGCAAAGGUUGAAUUGUGUUUCGAAUGUUUAGAAAAUGAGGAUGAUACGGUUGAUUACAUGACACUAUUAUGUAUAAGGGAAUAGAAAUACGCUACGGGAACUGUAAAGAUCUACUUAAAAAAAAAGAAAUGAUGAUUCAAAAAUUCAAGUACUCAUGUACAAGUAAGGGUUUGGUGAUGAGAUAUGACAUAGGGUUGAAUUACUCCAAUAUGAACUUUGACUAUAAAAAUUUGAUUUAUAUAAUACGUGUUGUUUGGGGAUGAUGCCAACUAGUGGUUAACUCUUAUACGAGAAUGAAAUAUGUGCAAUCGACUUCAUGUAAUCGAAAGUGUGAAAAUUUGCCUUGAUUGGCAUAAACUCAUGAAUCAAAAUGGAUGAUUAUGGAUUUAAUCUUCCUAGGUAAAAAGGGCCGAAGGAAGUUGAUAUAAGAAAUAUCUUGAUAAAUGAUACUUUGAUUUUAAAGUGUACUUGAGGGGAGAUAAAUGUUUAUUUUCAUCUUCAGAUUGAUAAACUAACAAGGCCAUGAGAUCUAGUGUUUAGAGAAAAAUUUGAGGAAUCACAAGUUGAAUAUGUUUGUAGGUGACGUAUAACUAACAAGUUGGUUAUGACCUAGGAAUUUAAGGAUUGAUUAAGUUCAUAAGGAUACAUCCAAAAGUAUGUUUAUUUGUUUAAAUGUAUUGUGGAAAUAGUCGAGAUCUACUUAAUAAGUACUUGAUCAUAAAACUACAAGAGUUUCUUUUUGAGAAUAUGGUUACUAAUGGUUACCAAAUUUAAAUUAUCUGUGAUGCUAAAUAUACAUAUGGACAAAUAAAGAGUGUUUGAUCCUUAUGUGUUAUGAAAUGUUUGAAUAGGAAUUGUAGUGCACACCCCUUUAGGAGAAAAAUUGAUUUGGAAGCAGUUAUAAUAUGGAAGAGUAUUUUGAAGUGGGAAUUAUUGAUUGUUGACAAGUGAUAAUGGUAGCGUAAUGAUAAGAAAUCCCAUUAGAGGCUGAGUUGCGUGGAUAUAUGAGACUUUGAGAGAUAGUUAAGGAAAUGGUAUCAAGGAAAUGUAAUCUAUAGCGCGGUUAAGCCGUACGUGAUAGACUAAUAUGAUUAAGAAGAUUGAAGCUACAUAAAUGUGAGGUAAACAUAAAUAUGAGGAUACGUACAGGAAUGAAUAAGAGCAUCCCAAUGGUUAAAGUAUUGUGGAUGAAUGCUCAAAUGGAAGAGAUGACAUGGGAUGUUGAACAUCAGAUAAGAAGACAAUACCCCACCUUUUCUUUGAGUUCGGUAAAUGAAAUUUUGAGGUCAAAAUUUUAUUUUAAGGGGGGUAGUACUGUAAAGCCUGACCUUAUAAAAUACUUGUCAUGACAUACAUGUGAUGGAUAACAUGUUUGCAUGCUAGGAGAGUCCUGAAGAAUUUACAAAAGUCGGUAUUGUACUUAGAGAUACAACAAAGUUGAUUUAAGCCUCGAACUAGAUCAAAUAGAGAUUUUAGGGUGAAAUUGAAAAUUUUAAAGUCCUAGAAUGACUUAGAAUGGUGAUUCGGGGUUUGAGGAUCAAUUUGGAGUUAAACCGAAAAUUUCACUAUCUAAGGGUAAAAUGGUAAUUUUGCCACUCGAGGACAAAAUGGGAAAUUUUUUGAAGAAUGUUGAUCAUAUAUGACUUAUUGGAGUAUGAUUUGAGGUUGAGAAGUGAAAAUUUGUAAUCUCGGUAUUUUUCGGAGUAUAGGGGUAAAAUGGUAAUUUUACCACCCCAAGCGCAAAACAGUAAUUUUCCACCACUAGGACACUUGUCCAGCACAUGGAUUUUAUCCAAUAUUAUCAUGGAUAAUUGAAAGAAUUUAUAUGGUGGAGAGAGAAAGCUUAAUAGUUAAGAAAUAAAAAUGUACCAAUGAAAUGGUGACACAUGGCAUAUUUAUAACCAUUAAAUAUUUAACUUUAAAAUUNCAUAUUUAUAACCAUUAAAUAUUUAGCUUUAAAAUUAAUACAAAAUCAGCCCAUUUCUCAUUCAUAUGGCUGGCCAAAGAAGAACAAAGGAGGAAAGGAAAAAAACAAGAACCCUAGGUGGGAAAAUUGAAGAAAAAGUGUGGGAUUUCAAGGGAUUAAGCUAAUAAAGGUAAAAUUUCUUGAUUUUGACUUGUGAUUUACACUACCCAUGCUUUCUUUUUCAUUUUCCAUGGUUAGAUUUCAUGUUUUCAUGGUGAAUUCAUGGCUGGUUGGAAUGGGUAUGGAGAGAGAAUGAAGUUGGAUUGAUUUGAUUUUAAGUUAUGUUAGCGUUUUUAGUUAGUUUAGCAUAUUUAGAAACAAAAAAACAAGAAAAGAAUUUGUUUUCCCUCAUCACCAUCAUUGGCCGAAUUUUCUAGGGAAGAUAUUGUGGCUGAAAUUGAUGAUAUUUCAUGAUAUUUUGGUGAUAUUUGAUGUUUGGCAAGACUAGAAAUUAAAUGAGAAAUUUUGGUGUGAAAAUCUGAAUUUUUACCUAAUGUAUAAACAUGUGUGAUUAUUGACCCGGGACUGAUAAAUUGAAUCUCAUUCACAGUCACUGAGGUAAUUUAGGUAUAAUUGUAGUGUAGAAAGUGAAAGAAAUUGAUUUGGAGUUAAAUUGGAGGUUUUAGCCAAUUACACCGAGAAUAGUACGAAUUAAGUCGAAUAUCGUAUUUAAACAGCUAUUCAGACAUUUUGCAUCACAUUUCGUGCAUUCAUAUAGAUUUUAUAGAGCCUGAAAUAGUUUAUGAUAAAUUAACACAAUUUAUUGAAAUUCGUGUCACGUAUGAUGUAUAGGUGGUGAGCCCUCUAACAAGGAUAAAGAGAUUAUGCCCGAAGAUUGAGAAUAAGAGUAUAUCGAACUCCUAGUAUUGUGAGUAACCUUAUCAUCAUUUUAGUUAUCUAAAUAUGUUUUAAUUCGAUUUUGGAGAAAUUGUAUGAAAAUGAUUUUAAAUGGUUAAUUUUAGGUUUUAUAAACAAAAAUGAGUUUAAAUGAAAAUAUUUUAUAAAUUGUCUUGAAACGAAAUAACGAUUUUGAAAAUAGAGUAAUUGGAGACCACUGAUAUGUUGUAAAUUUAAAAUUUAAUUGAUGGCUUAUGUUAUUGUGUUGGCAUGACUAGUUGGGCUGUGUUUUAUGAAUUGUAUGAAUUACUUUAUUUUACCCUUGUAGGCUGGGUAGUAAUAUAUUAGCCCUGUCAUGCUGUCAAAAUUUUAUUAUAUGGUGGGUUUGACCUGCUGUAAUGGGCUGGGUUCUGUGGACUAGCCUAUUAAAAGGGCACGAAAUCCUGUUAUAUUUUACUUCGUUUGGAGAGGCGAGUAGGGUAACUCCCGAGGUAUAACUUUUAGAGUUCACUUCAUGCCAAACCACCACGUGAGGGGGAACUCGGCCAACGCCAAGGAAUGACUAUGUUUUUAAAAUAAAACAUGACUUUCUAAUAGCCUUGGCAGACUCAGUUGGGAUAGCCCUCGGCCAAGAUAUCCCAAAUAAUUGAGUAUGAUAAUAAUUUUUGGCAUGAGCCAAGCUUUUAAGAAAUUCAUAAGCCAUAUUGAUUACUUGAUUUAAAUAAAUUGAUUUCAUUUGGUUGAAAUAAGUUGAAAGAUGAUAAAUUAUAGUUUGAUGAAAUAUUUUAAUAGUCUCCUUUUACUCGCAUUUAGAUAUUUUAAAUGAUAUUUGUGUACUCACUGGAAUUUUAUAAUCUCACCACCCUCCUUUUCACCCAUUUCAGGCUCGGAAUAGAUUGUAGAUAACUGAUAUCGGCGAGGACUAUAAUUGGACUUGCCAUAUCCAAAAACUGUAGGUUCAUUUCUUUAGAUACUUUUAGUCCUUUGUGUCAAGCCCAGCCCUAAAUUAUCUACCAUGUUACACAUGAGACUGAUAAAGUGAUUGCAUAUUUGAACAGUCCCGAAAGAAUAUUUAAAAGUCGGUAUUGUGCUUAUAAGUACAAGUAAGUCGAUUUAUACCUUGAACUAAUUAAAAUAAGAAUUUUAAGGUGAAAUUAAGAGUUUCAUAGUCCAGGAAUGAUUUAAAAUGGUGAUUUGGAAUUCGAGGAUCAAUUUGGAGUCAAAUCGAAAUUUUCACUAUCUAGUGGUAAAAUGGUCAUUUGCCACUUGAGCACAAAAUGAGAAUUUAAUAAAAGAUUUUUUUGGCCCCAUUUGACUUAUUGGAGUAUGAUUUGAGGUUUACAAGUGAAAAAUUUUAAUUCUGGUAUAAUUUAUAGUAUAGGGGCGAAAUGGUAAUUUUGCCACCCUAGGGGCAAAUCGGUAAAUUUUUACCCCUAACACUUGUCAAGACCAAGGGAUUUUAUUCAUCAUGGAAAUGGAUAAACAUGAGAAAUGUGUGGUGGAGAAUUAAAGAAUUAAAAGUCAAAUAUUUAAAAUUUGAACCAAUAAGGAAAUGCCAUGUGUCAUGCUUUUAUUAUUUUAUUGUUUCUUUAUAAAACGGCAUAAAAAUCAGCCCAUUUCUCCCAUAGUGGUCAGCCAAACCAGAAGAGAAGAGAAACCAAGGAAGAACAAACCCUAGGUGGGAAAAAUCAAAGAGAAAGUGUUAGAAUUCAAGGAUUUGAUCAAGCAAAGGUAAAAUUUCUUUGAUUUUGCUAGUGAUUUACCUUAUCCAUGCAUUUUCCCUUAAUUUCCAUAGUUGAAAAACAUGUUUUCAUGAUGAAUUCAUGGCUGGUUGGAAUGGGUAUGGAGAGAGAAUGAUGUUAGAUUGAUAUGAUUCUAAGUUAUGUUAGUGUUUUUAGUUAGUUAAACAUGUUUAGAAACAAAACAACAAGAAAAGAAUCCAUUUUCCCCAUGAACCUUCAAUGGUCGAACCCUAUGUGAAGUGUAGAAGUAAUGAAUUGAUUUUGUGAUCAAGUGAAUCGAUUGAAAAAUUGAUGAAAUGAUGAUUUAUGGUGAGAAAAUGGAAUGGAAAAAUUUUUAGUGGUAGUGCACCACAAUGGCCAAAAUGUUCAAGAAGAAUUGUGAGGGUUAUUAGGCUGAAUUUUAGAUUAUUGGAAUUGUAUUUAGUGAAUUGAAAUAUUAGAAAUGAAAUGGAGCAAUUUGGAGCCAAAUCGGACACAAUUGUCAUUUAAUCGGGUAAUAGGUCGAAUUAUGUCAGUACCGCAUUUAAGCGGUAGUCGGAUAAGUUGCAUAUCAUAUCAUGCAUAUACACCGAGCCUAAAUUGAUUUUAUAAUGGUCAAGCAUUGAUAUGGUGAAUUAUGUAUUGUACAUUAUGGAUAGGUGGUGAGUAAAUUACAUUGGUAAAAGUACAUAGAUUGUGCUUGGAGAUUAGGAUUAGGAGUAUAUCGACUCCUAGAACUGUGAGUAAACUUAUUAUCGUCUUAAUUAUCUAGAGUAGUUUUAUACAAUUGUGUGAUUUUAUAAAAAAUGGGUUUAAAUGGUAAAUUGCUAUGUUUUAUGAGAAAUUGUGAUUUUAUAAAAUGAUUUUAUAAAUUUUCUAAAAAAUUGAAUACUGGUUUGAAAAUAGAGUAAUUGGAGACUGCCUGCUUGUGUUGUAAAUUUCUGGUUUUAAAUUGAAUGGCUUAUGACAAUAAAUGAGUAUGAAUGGCUAAACUGAUUUUUGGUGUUAGAAUUAUUUGUACUGUGUAUUCAGCCUUGAGAGGUUAGGUUGCGAUAAAUUGCCAUGUCAUGCAGAAAAAGAUUUUAUAAAUCAGGUGAUAGAUAAAAUAAUCCAUAGUCACUACAGUGGUGGGAGUUUCCAUGGACUGCCUAUGAGAGGGGCAUGGUAACUCAAUUAUAUAUUUGCCUCCGGGGGAAGAUGAUGGAUGAAGUAUCUCUUGAGGUAAAGAUUCGAGUGCACUUCAUGUGGACCACUGCGUGAGAGUGAGACUCAGCCAACACCAAGGCAUGGCUAAAAUUUCGGAUGUAAAGACAUUUAACAGCCUUGGCAAACUCGGUUGGGAUAACCCUCGAUCAAGGUAUCCCUGAUAACUGAGUAUGAGAAUGAUUUUUGACACGAGCCAAGCUUUUCAGGAAAUCAUAAGCCUAGUUGUUUAUUUGGUUGAAAUGAGUUGAAAGGUAAUGAAAUUACAAUAUGAUGACUUAUUUUAAUUCGUCUCUAUUUACUCGCCUUUAGAUAGUUUAGAUGGUGUCUGUUUACUCACUGGGAUUUUAUAAUCUCACCACCCUCAUUUCCUCACAUUUCAGGCUCGGGGAAUUCCAUAGUUAGCUGACUUUGACAAGGACCUUCAUUUGGACUUGAAUCGGCAAAAGCUGUAGGUUUUUAGCUUUCGAUACAUUUUGGUUAGACGUGGGCCCACGUGUCAUUGUAAAAGUAAUUUUAUGCUUUGGUUAUUUGCUUUAUAGUAUAUAUGAAUAUAAUUAACUUUUACGCUAUAAGAAUUAUUUACCGAUAGCUUUAUAAAAAUUAUUUUACGAGAAAAUAAUUUAUUUUAUUGAAUAUUUUUAUUAUAUUUAAAUGAUCAAAUUUUCACUUCAAACGAAGGUUUUAGAUACUUAAUUUGUUUUUAAAUCACUAAAUAUAUAUUUUCUACUUAACUACUACAUUUUUAGCAAGUUUUGAGAUUUUCGAUAAAAAAUGACAAAAAUGACCUUGUGAGCCAG
rnacentral:lncRNA from 1 species